GCUCCGCUUUUAGACAAUAAGGGAAAUGUUAGGAUCGUCUGUUCUGCUGAGCUUUGACCUCAGUGACACUGAAAAGACGGAGGGGGCGGAGCUCUGGCGUUUCAGAUGGAGAGAGGAUGAAACGGCGGCGUGACGCCUUCAGCAGCUUCUCAGUCUAGAUGGUUCUCCUGAAGCGACAAAAUCCUAAAAAAAUCCAACAUUUCCUGAAAAGACAAACUAAAUCCUGAUAAAAAAUAAAAACGAGUCAACGUCAUUUAUAGAAGAAUCUGCAAAAGUAAACUUUUGAAUUUCUAUGGCAACGGAGGAUUCUCAUUGACCACGCCCACAUUCCUCAAAUGUUCCUAUCAGAUCUCAGCUUGAGCCAAAACCUUUUCACAGUAUCCUGUUAAAGAAUGUGUGGGUAACCAGGUAACGGCGUUUUUAGGAGCUCACCUGGUAAACAUCGUUCAAAAUCUGCACACAUCUCAUUUGCUGAUUGUUUUUUCUUCACCACUUCCUGAAGAUGACGGCGGAGUUUGGAGGGAUGGAGUUUAACUUAUAGAAGGAUUCAAAGCGUCAUCUGCGCACGUGCCCUCAAAGCCGCGCGCUGACCUUGAAGGACCCGCUCUUUGGGGUCUUCGGCCCAAAGCCGUGCGUGCUGUUGCGUGUCAGUCUGAAAUGUUCUGCGUGAAGCCUCGCGCGCGCGCGCCGCACCUGCGGUCAUCCUCCAGCCUGCACCAGUGAACGGUUCUAAAAGUGAAGCUUCAUGACUAAAAGUAGAAAAAUCAUCAUUUCUGUCCCCGAAUCCUCCUGAAGCUGCGGCUCCGAGGCGCGCGCGCGCGCACUAACUUUCUGCGGGAGUCGUCCCGCGCGCACCUACCCUGCAGCAGGACGAAGCCCACCGCCCCGUCCAGGUUGAUGUGCUCGUGCUGCCGCUCCAGGAAGGACACGCCGCGAGACAGGCUGCCGAGCACGUCAUCGAUCACCUCCGCGCACGAGCCGCACGCGGACGCCGCGAAGAGCGCGAGCGCGGCAGCCAGCCGGAGCCCCGCAGCCCGCAUCUUCAUCCGGAGGAGACAGCCGAGGACCAGCUGAGGAGGACAGACUCUUCUGCUGGGGGAGGGACGUCAGUGACGCAGCAGCCGCGUCAUCAUGACCCCGCGCGCGCGCGCCGCCCCGAGCUGCAGUGAUUCAGGACUUUACCGGACCUCCGCGGGAAACUCCGGAGAAGAAAGAAAAUACGCUGGGCGGGGCCACAAGCUCCGCCCCUUUCUGAUCUUCCACCUCCAUGAGCGUCUUUGCUUUGAGGUUUGGAUUUAAACCGUCCGGCUGGAUGUUGAUCAUCAGUUUGUUCAUGGGCCACCGUAGAGACUGAAAUCCACCCUGUAAACAUCUUUUUCAAAGAACCCACCAGAGACCAGCAGGUCUGGAACGGCUGAUGGUUCAUGGCUGGCUGGGGGGCAGUCGUCCUCGGGGUUGUUGGAAAUCUCCCAGAAUGCAGUGAGAGGAUGAACAACCAGGAGAAGAAGCUGCCGGUGACCUUCUUCAACCCCUGACGUACCGCGUCCCAGCGUGGUACGCAGGACGCCAGCCGCGGACACGAGAGCGCCGCAGAACGUGAUCGACACGGCCCAGAAGAUCACCGGCGGGAGGACAGCAGCAGAUCCCGCUAACGUAGCAGAGCAGAAAACGGAAGCAAAGACUCACCCAAACCACUGAUCCUGAAUGAAUGGAUGAAUGGAUGAAUGAAUGGAUGAAUGGAUGAAUGGAUGAAUGGAUGAAUGAAUGAAUGAAUGAGUGAAUACACUGGGACAUCUGUAGGAUUACCAUAUCUUCAGCUCAGAACGUGCUAUGUAGUGCAAUGCAUGUAUGUAUUUUGACUUUACAUAAACUUUACAUUUAAUUUUUUCCCCCCAAACCCUGACUUUUAAAUAUUAAUUAAACAGAUGGAAUUGAUCACAUUUUUCAUUGUGCAGCAAUGACAAUAAAAUGAUUUCUAACGUAUAAAAUCAAA